rnacentral:rRNA from 1 species
AUGACGUCAAGUCAUCAUGGCCCUUACGACCAGGGCUACACACGUACUACAAUGGUAGGGACAGAGGGCUGCAAACCCGCGAGGGCAAGCCAAUCCCAGAAACCCUAUCUCAGUCCGGAUUGGAGUCUGCAACUCGACUCCAUGAAGUCGGAAUCGCUAGUAAUCGCAGAUCAGCAUUGCUGCGGUGAAUACGUUCCCGGGCCUUGUACACACCGCCCGUCACACCAUGGGAGUUUGUUGCACCAGAAGCAGGUAGCUUAA